rnacentral:rRNA from 1 species
AACGAACGCUGGCGGCAUGCCUAACACAUGCAAGUCGAACGAGACCUUCGGGUCUAGUGGCGCACGGGUGCGUAACGCGUGGGAACCUGCCCUUAGGUUCGGAAUAACUCAGAGAAAUUUGAGCUAAUACCGGAUAAUGUCUUCGGACCAAAGAUUUAUCGCCUUUGGAUGGGCCCGCGUAGGAUUAGCUUGUUGGUGGGGUAAUGGCCUACCAAGGCGACGAUCCUUAGCUGGUCUGAGAGGAUGAUCAGCCACACUGGUACUGAGACACGGCCCAGACUCCUACGAGAAGCAGCAGUGGGGAAUAUUGGACAAUGGGCGAAAGCCUGAUCCAGCAAUGCCGCGUGAGUGAUGAAGGCCUUAGGGUUGUAAAGCUCUUUUACCAGGGAUGAUAAUGACAGUACCUGGAGAAUAAGCUCCGGCUAACUCCGUG